GACGAACGCUGGCGGCGUGCCUAAUACAUGCAAGUCGAACGAGAGCAACCGGUGCUUGCACUGGUCAAUCUAGUGGCGAACGGGUGAGUAACACGUGGGUAACCUGCCCAUCAGAGGGGGAUAACAUCCGGAAACGGAUGCUAAAACCGCAUAGGUCUUCGAACCGCAUGGUUUGAAGAGGAAAAGAGGCGCAAGCUUCUGCUGAUGGAUGGACCCGCGGUGCAUUAGCUAGUUGGUGAGGUAACGGCUCACCAAGGCCGUGAUGCAUAGCCGACCUGAGAGGGUGAUGGGCCACAUUGGGACUGGGACACGGCCCAAACUCCUACGGGAGGCAGCAGUAGGGAAUCUUCCGCAAUGGACGCAAGUCUGACGGAGCAACGCCGCGUGAGUGAAGAAGGUUUUCGGAUCGUAAAACUCUGUUGUUAGAGAAGAACAAGUGCUAGAGUAACUGUUAGCGCCUUGGCGGUAUCUAACCAGAAAGCCACGGCUAACUACGUG
rnacentral:rRNA from 1 species